GGAGGCGUCGCAUAGAGGCCUAGUGCGCCCGCCUGCUAAGCGGGUUGGGGGUGAUACCCCCUCGGGGGUUCGAAUCCCCCCGCCUCCG
rnacentral:tRNA from 1 species